rnacentral:rRNA from 1 species
GCGCACCAGUCGCGAAUCCUUCGCAAUGUGCGAAAGCAUGACGAGGCGACGCCGCGUGGAAGAUGAAGCCCUGCGGGGUGUAAAUUCCUUUUAUAGGGGAAGAACUUUUGUGACUGUACCCUAUGAAUAAGGAGCUACUAAUCACGUGCCAGCAGUAGCGGUAAUACGUGAGCUCCGAGCGUUAUCCGGAUUUACUGGGCGUAAAGCGUUCGUAGGCGCUCUGUUAAGUUUUCUGUUAAAUCUCUAAGGCCCAACCUUAGAGCUGCAGAAAAAACUGGCAGGGUAGAGGAU